rnacentral:rRNA from 1 species
AACGAACGCUGGCGGCAUGCCUAACACAUGCAAGUCGAACGAGACCUUCGGGUCUUGUGGCGCACGGGUGCGUAACGCGUGGGAACCUGCCCUUAGGUUCGGCAUAACUCCCCGAAAGGGGUGCUAAUACCGGAUCAUGUCUUCGGACCAAAGAUUUAUCGCCUUUGGAUGGGCCCUCGUUGGAUUAGCUAGUUGGUAGGGUAAAAGCCUCCCAAGGCGACGAUCCAUAGCUGGUCUGAGAGACUGGUCAGCCACACUUGGACUGGGACACGGCCCAGACUCCUACGGGAGGCAGCAGUGGGGAAUAUUGGACAAUGGGCGAAAGCCUGAUCCAGCAAGGCCGCGUGAGUGAUGAAGGCCUUAGGGUUGUAAAGCUCUUUUACCCGGGAUGAUAAUGACAGUACCGGGAGAAUAAGCUCCGGCUAACUCCGUG